CCAGAGUAGCUGGGACUACAGGCGCCUGCCACCUAGCCCGGAUAAUUUUUUGUAUUUUUAGUAGAGACGGGGUUUCACCGUGUUAGCCAGGAUGGUCUCGAUCUCCUGACCUCGUGAUCCGCCUUCCUCACAUCGUGAUCCGCCCUCCUCAGCCUCCCAAAGUGCUGGGAUUACAGGCAUGAGCCACCGCGCCCGGCCUAUAUAUUGGCUCUUUUCAAGACUUCUAGAGACUGCAGACUCAGUAGGCACUUGCUUCAACUGUGUUACUUGCACGUAAAACUAAGGCUGGUAAUUCAACAUAUGGCUGACAACACUUCUCAGCAGAGAGGUAAUAUUUUACCUGAAUAAUUAAAAUGCUAUUUAUUUCAUUUACUGGAUGACAUUAGCAUAAUGUGCAUUACCAGUUUUCUAAUAACAUAAAAUAUCUCUUCAUUCUUAUAAGCAUGUACCAUUUCAACAAUUGUGACAGAGUGACACUAUAUUUCAAAGGCAGUUUUGCCCUAAGCAAGACUUAACAUCUUUUUAAGUAGUUUAAAAAUAUCCAAAGCUUAUCUCCAGAGGACAUCUGCUACUGUUGUUAUGGAACAUAAAAGACAUUUACCGUCAAAAUGCAGGCAGUCUACUAGCUAAUUUCAAAUGCAUAAAUGAGUGCCUAAUCAAAAAAAUCAUCAAAUAUCUGAGAAAAAUGGACACCAUAAAAGAGAGAUAAUCUCAACCAGAUGAAGUAUUUCUACCUGUAAAAGAGUUAUUAGCUCAAUCAGAACAGAACUUUAAAGUACUAUAUUAGUAUCCUACAUUAUAAUUUCUCUAUACUUUCAUAGUCAAUUUAUUCCCUUAUUCUCUUAAAUAAUAUUUUCACACUGCCAUCUCUCUCUUCAGUCUUUCCCGACACAGUCGCCACUAUCUGCUGAUGCUGUUUAUUCCUGUAUGAGUGAGAAUGUUGAAAUAGAUUCCAAUACCAAUUGCACCCUAACCAGCAUUUGUACCCACAUCCUCUUCUGGAAUUUUUCUUGCUACUUAUAAAUGAACAUUCUAUGCUUCCAGCUGAAGAGCAUCCAUUCAAGAACACUUGUUCCCAG
rnacentral:lncRNA from 1 species